rnacentral:misc_RNA from 1 species
AAGUCGUAACAAGGUUUCCGUAGGUGAACCUGCGGAAGGAUCAUUACCGAGUGCGGGCCCUCUGGGUCCAACCUCCCAUCCGUGUCUCUUGUACCCUGUUGCUUCGGCGGGCCCGCCUUCAUGGCCGCCGGGGGGCUCUCUUGCCCCCGGGCCCGCGCCCGCCGGAGACUCCAACAUUGAACACUGUCUGAAGUUUGCAGUCUGAGUUUUCAUAUAAGAAAAAUCGUUAAAACUUUCAACAACGGAUCUCUUGGUUCCG